UACGUAGGGUGCAAGCGUUAAUCGGAUUUACUGGGCGUAAAGGGCGCGUAGGCGGUGUGUCAAGUCAGGCGUGAAAGCCCCGGGCUCAACCUGGGAACCGCGCUUGAGACUGGCACGCUCGAGUUCGGGAGAGGAUGGUGGAAUUCCCAGUGUAGAGGUGAAAUUCGUAGAUAUUGGGAAGAACACCGAUGGCGAAGGCAGCCAUCUGGACCGACACUGACGCUGAGGCGCGAAAGCGUGGGGAGCAAACAGG
rnacentral:rRNA from 1 species